rfam:Pelodiscus sinensis unplaced genomic scaffold scaffold374, whole genome shotgun sequence.
UCCGGCCCCCAUGACGGCCUGUCUUCAAGCCAGCCUGCUGGUGAGACAGGCCCGAAAGCUCGGCGUA